CCAGCGUCACUUUCUAGUCAGCCUGCGUCGAGCUUGAACAUCCUACUUUUCACUUCAUUUUCUGUCGUGUCUGAACUUCGUCAACAUGAACUCACACUAUCAACGCAUCUCAUCAGCCCGCUCUACACCCCAGUACAGUUCCAGCAUUUAUGGGGGUGCUGGUGGAUAUGGAAGCCGCAUCUCUUCUGCCUCCAGAUCUUCCCUGCACUCAGCUGGCCCAAUGUCAUCUUCUUCCUCUGCCUUCAAGCUGAGCAGUGGAAUGGGUGGUGGUAUGAGUGCAGGUUAUGGUGGAGCUGGUGCAUCCAUGGCAUCCAGCGGUGGUGGGAUCAUGGGCAAUGAGAGGGGAGCCAUGCAAAACCUCAACGAUCGCCUGGCCAACUACCUGGAGACAGUGAGGAACCUGGAACAGGCCAACAAGGAGCUGGAGAUCAAGAUCAGGGAUGCACUGGAGAAGGGAGGUCCCGACAUGAGAGACUACACCAAGUAUGAACCCAUUAUUGGUGACCUGCGUCAACAGAUCUUUGAUAAAAUAGUGGAAAAUGCUCGCUACGUGCUCCAGAUUGACAAUGCCCGACUUGCUGCCGACGACUUCAAAGUGAAGUUCGACAAUGAGAUGGCAAUCCGCCAGUCUGUGGAGGCUGACAUCGCUGGCCUGAAGAAAGUCAUUGAUGACACCAACAUGAGCAGGAUGAACAUCGAGAGUGAGAUUGAAGCUGUGAGGGAGGAGCUCGCCUUCCUAAAGAAGAACCAUGAGAAUGAGGUGAUGGAGCUGAGGAGUCAGAUCUCUCAUUCGGGCGUACAAGUAGACGUAGACGCCCCUAAAGGUCAGGACAUAGCCCAGAUCAUGGAGGACAUGAGGUCAAAUUAUGAAAAGAUUGCUGUGAAGAAUGCAGAGGACCUCAAACGGUGGCAUGAAAAUCAGAUUGCAGAUGUGCAGGUGGAGGUAUCACAGAACACAGAAGCUCUGCAGGGGGCCCACGCGGAGAAGAGCGACUUAGCCAGACAGAUACAGACCCUGGAAAUUGAACUUGCCUCCCAACAGAGCUUAAAAGCGUCAUUAGAAGAAACACUACGCAACACAGAGCACCGAAACAACAUGGAAAUGGAGAAGUACAACUCCAUCAUUGUUCGCCUGGAGGAGGAGCUGACCAACUUGCGUGCAAACAUCCAGCAACAGACGCAAGAGUAUGAGGUGCUCCUAAACAUGAAGAUGAAGCUGGAAGCAGAGAUCGCCACUUACAAGAGUCUGCUGGAUGGUGGAGACUUCAAGUAAGAGUUAUAAAGAGGUGGAGCAGAAAAAAAACUGGUCGAGGCAAGGUGGUGAUGGUGGUGGAGGCUCCAGGAUGCACUCGAUGAGCUGGUGGCCUCAAGUUAAUUUGAAACAGUCGACGACAAAAUAAGCCACCUUAACUAUCAGUUGUGGAGAAAAUGUGUCACUGGCCCAAACAACUGCAGCCAUGUUUUUGAACCAACACCACGCACUGUUCAAGGCUGUUUCACGAGCAACCACCACCUGCCACUGAGCAGCAACAUAAAAGUGAAUAAAACAACUUGUUGAACCACA